rnacentral:rRNA from 1 species
UGGGGAAUAUUGGGCAAUGGGGGAAACCCUGACCCAGCAACGCCGCGUGAAGGAAGAAGGCCUUCGGGUUGUAAACUUCUUUUACCAGGGACGAAGGACGUGACGGUACCUGGAGAAAAAGACAACGGCUAACUACGUGCCAGCAGCCGCGGUAAUACGUAGGUUGCAAGCGUUGUCCGGAUUUACUGGGUGUAAAGGGCGUGUAGGCGGAGGAGCAAGUCAGAUGUGAAAUCCCGGGGCUUAACCCCGGAACUGCAUUUGAAACUGUUUCCCUUGAGUAUCGGAGAGGCAAGCGGAAUUCCUAGUGUAGCGGUGAAAUGCGUAGAUAUUAGGAGGAACACCAGUGGCGAAGGCGGCUUGCUGGACGACAACUGACGCUGAGGCGCGAAAGCGUGGGGAGCAAACAGGAUUAGAUACCCUGGUAGU